rnacentral:rRNA from 1 species
AUACGUAGGGGGCGAGCGUUGUCCGGAAUGAUUGGGCGUAAAGGGCGCGUAGGCGGCCCGGUAAGUCUGGAGUGAAAGUCCUGUUUUUAAGAUGGGAAUUGCUUUGGAUACUGUCGGGCUUGAGUGCAGGAGAGGUAAGUGGAAUUCCCAGUGUCGCGGUGAAAUGCGUAGAGAUUGGGAGGAACACCAGUGGCGAAGGCGACUUACUGGACUGUAACUGACGCUGAGGCGCGAAAGUGUGGGGAGCAAACAGGAUUAGAUACCCUGGUAGUCCACACUGUAAACGAUGAAUGCUAGGUGUAGGGGGUAUCGACCCCUUCUGUGCCGCAGUCAACACAAUAAGCAUUCCGCCUGGGGAGUACGGCCGCAAGGUUGAAACUCAAAUGAAUUGGCGGGG